rnacentral:misc_RNA from 1 species
UUUUUUUUUUUUUUUUUUUUUUUUUUUUUUUUUUUUUUUUUUUUUUUUUUUUUUUUUUUUUUUUUUUUUUUUUUUUUUUUUUUUUUUUUUUUUUUUUUUUUUUUUUUUUUUUUUUUUUUUUUUUUUUUUUUUUUUUUUUUUUUUUUUUUUUUUUUUUUUUUUUUUUUUUUUUUUUUUUUUUUUUUUUUUUUUUUUUUUUUUUUUUUUUUUUUUUUUUUUUUUUUUUUUUUUUUUUUUUUUUUUUUUUUUUUUUUUUUUUUUUUUUUUUUUUUUUUU